rnacentral:rRNA from 1 species
CCUACGGGUGGCAGCAGUGAGGAAUAUUGGGCAAUGGGCGCGAGCCUGAACCAGCCAAGUAGCGUGAAGGAUGACUGCCCUACGGGUUGUAAACUUCUUUUAUAAAGGAAUAAAGUGAGGCACGUGUGCCUUUUUGCAUGUACUUUAUGAAUAAGGAUCGGCGAACUCCGCGCCAGCAGCCGCGGUAAUACGGAGGAUCCGAGCGUUAUCCGGAUUGAUUGGGUGUAAAGGGAGCGUAGAGGGGUUGUUAAGUCAGUUGUGAAAGUUUGCGACUCAACCGUAAAAUGGCAAUGGAUACUGGCAGCCUUGAGUGCAGUAGAGGUAGGCGGAAUUCGUGGUGUAGCGGUGAAAUGCUUAGAUAUCACGAAGAACUCCGAUUGCGAAGGCAGCUUACUAGACUGCCACUGACAUUGAUGCUCGAAAGUGUGGGUAUCAAACAGGAUUAGAUACCCUAGUAGUC